ACUUUUUCCAUUUUUCAUAAAUGGGCCAAAAACAGCAAAAAUAUAAGGCUAUAGGCUUAACUUUUCAUCCAUUUUUAGCGACUUUUUCCAUUUUUCAUAAGUGGCCAAAAAAACACCAAAAAAGUAAGGCUAUAGGCUUAACUUUUCAUCCAUUUUUAGCGACUUUUUCCAUUUUUCAUAAGUGGGCAAAAAACAGCAAAAUUCAUUUUUUUAAUAAACAGGCAAAAAACAGCAAAAAAGUAAGGCUAUAGGCUUAACUUUUCG